GGUCAAGUGACUAAGCGUGCACGGUGGAUGCCUUGGCAGUCAGAGGCGAUGAAGGACGUGGUAACCUGCGAUAAGGUUCGGUGAGUCGGUAAACAGACUUUGACCCGGACAUUUCCGAAUGGGGAAACCCACCCAGUAUAAGCUGGGUAUCUCUUAGUUGAAUACAUAGACUGAGAGAGGCGAACCCGGGGAACUGAAACAUCUAAGUACCCGGAGGAAAAGAAAUCAACCGAGAUUCCCCUAGUAGCGGCGAGCGAACGGGGACCAGCCCUUAAGCUGUUUUAACAUUAGCAGAACACUCUGGAAAGUGUGGCCAUAGUGGGUGAAAGCCCCGUAUGCGAAAGUGUUUUAACAGUGAAAUCGAGUAGGACGGGACACGUGUUAUCCUGUCUGAAUAUGGGGGGACCAUCCUCCAAGGCUAAAUACUCCUGACUGACCGAUAGUGAACCAGUAC
rnacentral:rRNA from 1 species